CAUUUUUAAUAGAAAUUAUUAUUAAUAAUUUCUGCUCCAUGAUAUUAAAUAGCCGCAGUUUACUUGUGCUAAGGUAGCAUAAUCAUUUGUCUUUUAAUUAAAGUCUUGAAUGAAAGAUCAUACAUUUGAUUUAAUUUUUUAAUUUAAAACAAUAAAAUUAUUAUAAAUAUAAAAAUAUAUUUUUAUAUAAAAAAGACGAUAAGACCCUAUUGAACUUUACUUUAGUUUUACUGGGGCAGUAAAUUAAAAAUCAUUUUAAUUCAUUAUACAAAUAUAUCUAAUAAAAUUAAUAUUAAUAACGUUACCAUAGGGAUAACAGCGCAAUAAUUUAUUAAAGAUCUUAUAAAAUAAAUUGAUUACGACCUCGAUGUUGAAUUAAUAUUCUUACAAUCGCAAUAGAUUAAUAAAGAAAGUCUGUUCGACUUUUAAAUAAUUACAUGA
rnacentral:rRNA from 1 species